UUUUUUAAAAAAUUACCGUAACUAGAAACAAAAUAGAACAUAUUUUAUUGUUUCUUUGUUUCCAUUAUUAAAAUAAAUAAAACAUCAUAAUAAAUUCUCCAUCUCAAAUGUGUUCUAGUCCUGCCUAAAUGGUUUAUAGAAGAGUGAGGCAUAUUGUAGUGAACAGUGCCAAGUAUACAGGAAGUUAAAAACAUGGGGAUCUACUGUGUAAAAGGUAAUUUGCUUAAUGUAAUUUUACUUUGUUUAUCAUGAAGUUAGUUGUUUACCAGCCAACUCUGGAUAUUCACUGGUCACCUUAAUAAACAGAAUGGAGUUUGAACAAAACAGUCACUCUGAUAACUGUUACAUAAUUUUUUCAGAGAUUAGACACCACUAAUCAUUCUGUUAAAGCUCACUUCAAGCAUGAUAGCAACUCCAUAUUAGUCAUAUCUAAUUAUAUUUUGGAUGCCCUGAAUGGUUUUGAUUUUUAUGGUAAGUUAUUGCAGUUUGAAGUAAAACAAAAAUAACUGAUAGCAAUCCUAAAUUAAUUUUCAAUGAAUUUCUACUCAGAUCCAAGAUCCCCUGGUUCUCCUUUAUUGACCUACUUUAAAGUCCACUAUAAUUUUUGUGAAAUGUUAAAAAUCUUGAAUAUGAAUGCACUUCACAUCUGCAAAUCCUAGCUUUCGAUUAUCUUGUUUCUGCCUCAUUAGAUCAUUAAUGCAAGUCGUAACAGUGGUGGGCUCAGCCCUGAUCCUUGUGCAAGUCCCUUACCCACUGUUUGCCAUCAAGUCUACACUGGUUAAGAUCUACUCACCGUGUCUGUCCUAUAUAACCUGACCUAACAGCCUUAAAAAUCCAGCCUCGUCCAAACACGGAGAAUGAACUGAAUGCCAGAGUUGAGGUAAGA